rnacentral:rRNA from 1 species
UAGGGAAUCUUCGGCAAUGGACGGAAGUCUGACCGAGCAACGCCGCGUGAGUGAAGAAGGUUUUCGGAUCGUAAAGCUCUGUUGUUUGAGAAGAAUGUUGGUAGGAGUGGAAAAUCUACCAAGUGACGGUAACUAACCAGAAAGGGACGGCUAACUACGUGCCAGCAGCCGCGGUAAUACGUAGGUCCCGAGCGUUGUCCGGAGUUAUUGGGCGUAAAGCGAGCGCAGGCGGUUCUUUAAGUCUGAAGUUAAAGGCAGUGGCUUAACCAUAGUACGCUUUGGAAAAUGGAGGACUAGAGUGCAGAGAGGGAGAGAGGAAUUCCAUGUGUAGCGGAUAAAUGCGUAGAUAUAUGGAGAAACACCGGUAGCGAAAGAGGAUCUCUGGUCUGUAACUGAAGAUGAGGCUCGAAAACGUGGGGAGCAAACAGG